GAUAACCCCGGGAAACUGGGGAUAAUUCCGGAUAGCGCAUAUUUGCUGGAAUGCUUUAUGCGUCAAAAGGAUUCGUCUGCCCAAGGAUGGGUCUGCGGCCUAUCAGGUAGUAGUGGGUGUAAUGUACCUACUAGCCAGCGACGGGUACGGGUUGUGAGAGCAAGAGCCCGGAGAUGGAUUCUGAGACAUGAAUCCAGGCCCUACGGGGCGCAGCAGGCGCGAAAACUUUACAAUGCGGGAAACCGUGAUAAGGGGACACCGAGUGCCAGCAUCAUAUGCUGGCUGUCCGGAUGUGUAAAAUACAUCCGUUAGCAAGGGCCGGGCAAGACCGGUGCCAGCCGCCGCGGUAACACCGGCGGCCCGAGUGGUGAUCGUGAUUAUUGGGUCUAAAGGGUCCGUAGCCGGUUUGGUCAGUCCUCCGGGAAAUCUGAUAGCUCAACUAUUAGGCUUUCGGGGGAUACUGCCAGACUUGGAACCGGGAGAGGUAAGAGGUACUACAGGGGUAGGAGUGAAAUCUUGUAAUCCCUGUGAGACCACCUGUGGCGAAGGCGUCUUACCAGAACGGGUCCGACGGUGAGGGACGAAAGCUGGGGGCACGAACCGGAUUAGAUACCCGGGUAGUCCCAGCCGUAAACUAUGCUCGCUAGGUGUCAGGCAUGGCGCGACCGUGUCUGGUGCCGCAGGGAAGCCGUGAAGCGAGCCACCUGGGAAGUACGGCCGCAAGGCUGAAACUUAAAGGAAUUGGCGGGGGAGCACAACAACGGGUGGAGCCUGCGGUUUAAUUGGGACUCAACGCCGGACAACUCACCGGGGACGACAGCAAAAUGUAGGCCAGGCUGAAGACCUUGCCUGAAUCGCUGAGAGGAGGGUGCAU
rnacentral:rRNA from 1 species